AAAAAAUCUGCAUAACACAAGUUUAAUGCUAAAUCUAAAAGACUAAUAACAGAAAUUGAGACAUACACUUUGUUCUUUGAUUCAUAUUGCACAAUGUUUAGCCCUGUAAGGGUGUGGUCAUUUAUGGGGAGGGGGAGUUGGCAAAUGGGAGGCAGGGGGGGGGAGGAAAAUUUUACCUUCAAAUAUCUAUAGGUCCAUAAAUUAAAAGAAGCCAAUUGAAUGCUUAGUAUUAUUGUGAUCUUUGGAACAUUGCAACAAAAUUUGCAAACUUCAGAACAAACUUCAGAACAUUUUGCCGAAAGUUUUGUGAAAUCAGUAUAGGUGUAUGAUGCAUCAAAAUCCAUUUUAUUAAAAUGUUCAGUUAUGGAAAAGUAAAUGUCUUUUGAAACAAUUUGACCAACAUGAAAAAACUAAAAUAGCUGAAUGUCUUGUAUACAUAAUCAGCUUUUUUUCAGUCAGAUUGGGGAGGGGGUAACUGAGCUUAUACUUUAAUAAUCGUUAUCAAGGGGAGGUGUCAAAAAGGUUGCCUUAAAUCUUAUUAAGGGAGGGGGAGCUUGAAAAGGUUUUCAACCACUAUUUCCCCAUCUUGCCAACCCCUCCCCAUAAUUCCAUUAAUAACGACCACUCCCGCUGUCUACAUUUCCAAUGUACUAUUAAAUCCCCUUUGUUUAUGAUGGUUUAUCAAUGUUCAUGUGCAAGUUCAUUUCAAAAAUCAUGAUACUUAUUAGUCUUCAGUUUGUGUGCCCUACUUUUGUGUUUUGUUUUAUAUUGUUUCUUUUCUUGUACUAAAUUUAUAGUAUUCUACUAUUCUUUAUACAUCAUGACCGUCUCUCUUCCUUGACUAAUGCUAUCUGUUACUAUCUUGAAUCCUUCUUUUUCGAGAAUAGCGAUAACGAACAUUUUCAUCAAUUUUGCUUUUGAAUCUGUCCACAACGGUGCACUCCCCUUUCGCGUUAUGACCAAUUCCAUAGUAUUUAAUAAUGUUUCAUAGCCUUUUUGCAAGUUGCAGUCUAGAAGAUCUUGCAUCUCGGACUUCACAGACAAAUCUUCAAUGAAUUUUGUGUUACCCCGCACACACACACACGAUUACAAUCGAUAUUUAUCUCGAGUUCCACGUACAUUUUACUGCGAGGUGAAUCAAAACCCUGUUCCAGAGGAGUUUUUCUCAAACUUUCUCAGAACUUUACUUUAUAGAGUAAUGGCGGAUCUGAUUCUGUACUUUAGGGAC